rnacentral:rRNA from 1 species
UACGGGGGGGGCGAGCGUUGUCCGGAUUUACUGGGCGUAAAGAGCGCGCAGGCGGUCGUUCAAGUCGAGUGUGAAAGCCCCCGGCUCAACUGGGGAGGGUCACUCGAUACUGAUCGACUUGAAGGCAGGAGAGGGAAGCGGAAUUCCCGGUGUAGUGGUGAAAUGCGUAGAGAUCGUGAGGAAGACCCGUGGCGAAGGCGGAUCUCUGGACGGCUAACUGACGCUGAGGCGCGAAGGCCAGGGGAGCAAACGGG